GAGCCCCGCAGCGCGGCGGCGGCACCGGGGGAACGGCGCCGCUGGGGGCUGCCUUCGUUUUAUUCUAUUUAAUUAUAUUUUCUUAAAUUAGCAAGCAGGAAGACUGCGAGGAGGGGCGCCCGCCGGCAGCAGCGCGGGCCCCCCACCCUGGGGCACUCGGAGGUUUCUCCGCCAUCCCACGCCGACCCGUGCUGACGAGGUUAAAAAGACUUGUCCGCACUGAAGUGCGAGGUUUCCACAAGUGGUUGCCCACGCAGGAUGUGGAAGAAUCGGCAUAAAAGCGUUAUGGAGCAAGAACCUUAUUCUUGGGGACUGCCGUGAACUGCCCUCUUUGAAGAAACCACCCACAUAAUAAUGACCCUGGAGAGCAACGCAAAACCCAACUGGCUUCCACGCAAACUUCGGCAAAUUACUGGGCGCCUAAAGACAGGCAAACUGUCAAGAGAUUUUGCGAGGGAAACAAAACAAAACAAAACAAAACAAAACACGACAA